CGUAGCACAAAAUUCUGGACCCAUCUUUUCUCUAUGGGCCCCUGCCCACACCCACAGCUAUUCAUCUAGCAUCUUUUUGGGCCCUCCUCACAUGAGGAUUUACUCAUUCCCUU